CAGCCUUCAAUCAGUAAAUUAUUUAGAACUUCGGAAGAUGGUCAAGGUAACUUGCUUCAAAGCCACGGCACUAGAUGGACAUGUAGUAGUCAGCCCAGAAUGCUUUUCUUCUUUACUAAAGUACUAUUUCGGAUGAAUGAAGAAUUACGUCGGUUUGUGCAGCAUAGACCGAGCAUGAGGCUUUUAAAGGUAUCCACCAUACUAUUUCGGAUGAAUAGGGAAUUAUGUCGCUUUGUUUAGCGUAGACCCAGCAUGAGGCUUUUUAAGGUAUCCACCUAUGUCGCUAUGGAAAGAUGUCCAAGGUCAAACAUCAGGACUAGAGACACUACAAUCUAGGUGAACCCCCUUCUAUCUUUCUUUCAGUUUGGUACUUUAGCAAAGAGGAAAUUUCUAUGAAGGUACUCAAAUUCCUUUUCCACCAAAGGAAUUAAUUAACUUACUCGAGCGACUUCUCUUUCAGGAGAACAGUUGUAUGCAGAUAAAUCCGUGCCUUUAUAAGUUUCACUUAUACCGUAAGUUGCUUAUGGGUUAAUUCUCAGUUCU
rnacentral:lncRNA from 1 species